rnacentral:rRNA from 1 species
GUAACAGGAAGCAGCUUGCUGCUUCGCUGACGAGUGGCGGGCGGGUGAGUAAUGUCUGGGAAGCUGCCUGAUGGAGGGGGAUAACUACUGGAAACGGUAGCUAAUACCGCAUAAUGUCGCAAGACCAAAGAGGGGGACCUUCGGGCCUCUUGCCAUCGGAUGUGCCCAGAUGGGAUUAGCUUGUUGGUGGGGUAACGGCUCACCAAGGCGACGAUCCCUAGCUGGUCUGAGAGGAUGACCAGCCACACUGGAACUGAGACACGGUCCAGACUCCUACGGGAGGCAGCAGUGGGGAAUAUUGCACAAUGGGCGCAAGCCUGAUGCAGCCAUGCCGCGUGUAUGAAGAAGGCCUUCGGGUUGUAAAGUACUUUCAGCGGGGAGGAAGGGAGUAAAGUUAAUACCUUUGCUCAUUGACGUUACCCGCAGAAGAAGCACCGGCUAACUCCGUGCCAGCAGCCGCGGUAAUACGGAGGGUGCAAGCGUUAAUCGGAAUUACUGGGCGUAAAGCGCACGCAGGCGGUUUGUUAAGUCAGAUGUGAAAUCCCCGGGCUCAACCUGGGAACUGCAUCUGAUACUGGCAAGCUUGAGUCUCGUAGAGGGGGGUAGAAUUCCAGGUGUAGCGGUGAAAUGCGUAGAGAUCUGGAGGAUACCGGUGGCGAAGCGGCCCCUGGACGAAGACUGACGCUCAGGUG